AGAGUUUGAUCCUGGCUCAGGACGAACGCUGGCGGCGCGCCUAACACAUGCAAGUCGAGCGUGAAGCCCACCUUCGGGUGGGUGGAAAGCGGCGAACGGGUGAGUAACACGUGAGGAACCUACCCCGGACACCGGAAUAACAGUGGGAAACCGCUGCUAAUGCCGGAUACUCCAACUCCACCGCAUGGCGGAGUUGCGGAAAGGUCCGCCGGUCCGGGAUGGUCUCGCGGCCUAUCGGCUUGUUGGUGGGGUAACGGCCUACCAAGGCAACGACGGGUAGCUGGCGUGAGAGCGUGGCCAGCCACACUGGGACUGAGAUACGGCCCAGACUCCUACGGGAGGCAGCAGUGGGGAAUCUUGCACAAUGGGCGAAAGCCUGAUGCAGCGACGCCGCGUGAGGGAUGAAGGCCCUAGGGUUGUAAACCUCUUUCAGCAGGGACGAAGCGAAAGUGACGGUACCUGCAGAAGAAGCCCCGGCUAACUACGUGCCAGCAGCCGCGGUAAUACGUAGGGGGCGAGCGUUGUCCGGAUUUAUUGGGCGUAAAGAGCGCGUAGGUGGUUCGUAAAGUCGGAAGUGAAAUUCCAGGGCUCAACCCUGGGACGCCUUUCGAUACUUGCGGACUAGAGCACGGUAGGGGGAUCUGGAAUUCCUGGUGUAGCGGUGAAAUGCGCAGAUAUCAGGAGGAACACCGGUGGCGAAGGCGGGAUCCUGGGCCGUUGCUGACACUGAGGCGCGAAAGCUGGGGGAGCGAACAGGAUUAGAUACCCUGGUAGUCCCAGCCGUAAACGAUGGGUGCUAGGUGUGGGAGGCUAUCGACGUCUUCCGUGCCGCAGCUAACGCAUUAAGCACCCCGCCUGGGGAGUACGGCCGCAAGGCUAAAACUCAAAGGAAUUGACGGGGGCCCGCACAAGCGGCGGAGCAUGUGGCUUAAUUCGAGGCAACGCGAAGAACCUUACCUGGGCUUGACAUCAGGGGAAAAGCUGUGGAGACACGGUGUCCGCAAGGGCCCCUGACAGGUGGUGCAUGGCUGUCGUCAGCUCGUGCCGUGAGGUGUUGGGUUAAGUCCCGCAACGAGCGCAACCCCCGUCUUUAGUUGCCAGCACGUAAUGGUGGGGACUCUAGAGAGACUGCCGGCGUUGAGCCGGAGGAAGGUGGGGAUGACGUCAAGUCAUCAUGCCCUUUAUGUCCAGGGCUGCACACAUGCUACAAUGCCGGCCACAAUGGGCUGCGACCCUGCGAGGGUGAGCGAAUCCCAAAAAAGUCGGCCAAGUUCGGAUUGUAGUCUGCAACUCGACUGCAUGAAGUCGGAGUCGCUAGUAAUCGCGGAUCAGCAACGCCGCGGUGAAUACGUUCCCGGGCCUUGUACACACCGCCCGUCACACCACGAAAGUCGGUAACACCCGAAGCCAGUGGCCCAACCGCAAGGAGGGAGCUGUCGAAGGUGGGAUCGGCGAUUGGGGUGAAGUCGUAACAAGGUAGCCGUA
rnacentral:rRNA from 1 species